CCUGGCUCAGGACGAACGCUGGCGGCGUGCCUAAUACAUGCAAGUAGAACGCUGAAGGAGGAGCUUGCUCUUCUGGAUGAGUUGCGAACGGGUGAGUAACGCGUAGGUAACCUGCCUGGUAGCGGGGGAUAACUAUUGGAAACGAUAGCUAAUACCGCAUAAGAGUAGAUGUUGCAUGACAUUUGCUUAAAAGGUGCAAUUGCACCACUACCAGAUGGACCUGCGUUGUAUUAGCUAGUUGGUGAGCCGUUACCUCACCAAGGCGACGAUACAUAGCCGACCUGAGAGGGUGAUCGGCCACACUGGGACUGAGACACGGCCCAGACUCCUACGG
rnacentral:rRNA from 1 species